GGAGCUUGAAGCAAAGCCUGAGAUUGCUAAAUCUUCAUGCUGCCCCUGUUCAGCCUGGGGGAAAGACUGCAUGUCCUCCUCUUCUGUGCAAAGGUUUUGUGUUCUUUGGGGUGUUCACCUCAUAAACCACCGGACAGUGUUGGCAGGGAGAGUCUUUCUGCAGAGCAGCAAAGGACUCGUGAUGGGAGAGACUGUUCUCCACACAACGUUGCUAAUCUUACCCGUACAUGGGAGAGGAGAAGAUGGGGCAAUCGAUACCUAUCUCAGCUGAACUUGUCUCUUGUGUGUGUGGAAGGCAUUGCCCCGGCUCAUCACGUGAGGCCUACGAUAAUGUCUCCUAUGCUGCACUGGCAUGAAACAAGACUUCAGACGGCAUCCCAGUGAAACAUGUCUCAAUGAGACCUUUCCAAACUCCGUCUAUUCCCCCAGCUCCGUGCCACUGGGAGGAUAAAGAGUAUGCUGUGAAACACAAGCUCAUUCUAAAAUGGUGAAAGGAGUUCCCUAUUUUGAGAGGGAAAUGAGGAAUGUAAAGCAAAAAUGUGGGGACAGACUAAACAGUGGUCCUAGUGAAACUGCAUGCAUAUCAUCUUUUGCAAGAAGUGUUAGUGUAGAAAACACACAGGGAACUGCUGUAGAACUUACAGUCGCUUUUUUUUUUAUUCCAAUAUAUACAAGGUAUUUUAAAGCACCCAUGGACCUCUUUGGAAAUUAGGCUAGCUGUGCUUUAGAGAGUACUGGUAUGCUAAAAACAAAUGAAAAGAGUUCCGAUGCUGCAGUGAGUAAAACAUGGGCAUACCUUGAAUAAAAACAUCCCUUUCCAAUUGAAUGGAAUAGAAACAGGGAACAAGAAAAUAGGGAAAAACAAAAUAAAUGCCUUCUACUAGAUGGCUCUUCCUUAGGAAGAACUAACUGAAGUUACGUUUUUUGCGUCGACGGUUUUUUCAUCAGGCAGUGGUUUCUGUUCAUGGACAAUGGAUACCAAGAACGAUGAAUACAGAAGAAAGCUGCCUUUUAUUCCAGGCCAGCAGGAUGAGCUUCUGGCAUUAUACUCUUCAGUUCACAGUGAAGAUGAAGCUGUCUGUGGCUUUUCUUGUCCGAGGUGCAGUGAGCCUAAUCCCAAGGAUGAACCCAACUGUGCAUCGAUAGAAGAUGACUCCUCACCUUUCCCCAUGAGAAUCUUGGAGCACCACCCCAGCGUUAUCAGCCUCGCAGAGGAUUAUGUGUGGCACAGCGGCGAUGUCAUGAACGAGAACAAACUUUUUGUCAGUAAUGAAGUGUUGGUCUUUAAUGAACUUUUGCAGCCAAAACAUAGGCAUCUGCUUGAGCCGGGUGAAAAAGAUCCAAGGUGGCAGCUUGAGUCGCACAAGGCAGACCUGAGGAGAGACCGCUAUAGCCUGGGCAGGGAGGAAGCAGAAGUUAAGUUAUCCGUCUCCUGGAGGAACAGAGCUACAGCCUGGCUGCUUGUGUUUCACAUUGCUAGAAGAUAAAAAAGAUGCAGUAGUACUCCCCUUCUUUCCAUCGUACCUGGCAAACUACCUGAGCCCUUUCCGGCUACGCAGUAAAAACAGUUCCCAGGUUCAUUCCCUGGGAACAUCCAGGAUCUGAGGUCAGCAGGCUGUGCUGCCACGAGCCCUUUACUGAACUCCGGCUGUACAAAAUUGCUGCUGCUUUCCAUGGUCAUUGAAAUAGCUGGAUAUGACGUGAUCAGAACCCUCGGCAGUAACGAUGAAAGACAGCUGGGUUUUCAUCUACUUGCUUAGAGGUAACAUCUCUACAGGAACAAAUGGGGGUUUGGUCUUCCCAGAUCAUGCUGCUGACUGCUAAAUGCUGUAAAUCCCUGGCGAUUAUGGUGGCAGUCUGCUGGAACUGAGGAAGCUGUGCAUGCUUGUUACAGGAUUCACCACUGUUAACCUGUCUGGAUAGGCAGAGAUGUUAAUCUGUCUCUUAGACAAUUUAAAUUAAAAAACACCUAAAGCCCUUGAUUUUUGAGACCAAAACAGCCAAAAUUAUUCAGUGUAUUACCUGGACAGAGGGAAUUUCCAGUGACUUCGAAAUGAACCCUCUCUUCUCCUGAUGUUAGCCAUUAAGCCUACUGCCUCUGCUGCCCCAUCUCACCUCCUUCCCCACAGCCAGGCUAACACCUUACGUUUCUUUUGCAAGAUUCCCAUUUUGCAGGAUAACUGUGUGCUGUUUCUCAGCUGCAAAACACAAUGACCGCUGCUUGGCGCCAAGCCCGUCCUUUGGACACAUCCCAUUCAAGGCCCGCGUUUUCAUAGAUCUCCUAACCCUCCGCUUCCUUUCUGACAUUAACGAAACUUUCCAUGUAUUGUUCUGGACAAAGCAAAAAGGAAAGACUUGCACACAAGCCACACACGCUAGAAUUGCGUCCUCCAAAGAAAUUCCUGUCAAUAGCAGCCUCAGACCCCUCCAGAAUUAGGCUGCGGAGCAUUCUCUGCAAAUGUCAUUAAACAGCGGCCGCGGUGUAACUUACUGAGCUG
ensembl:lncRNA